UGGGGAAUAUUGCACAAUGGGCGCAAGCCUGAUGCAGCAACGCCGCGUGAGGGACGACGGCCUUCGGGUUGUAAACCUCUUUUGGCAGGGAAGAAGCGAAAGUGACGGUACCUGCAGAAAAAGCACCGGCUAACUACGUGCCAGCAGCCGCGGUGAUACGUAGGGUGCAAGCGUUGUCCGGAAUUAUUGGGCGUAAAGAGCUCGUAGGCGGUUUGUCGCGUCUGCUGUGAAAACCCGAGGCUCAACCUCGGGCCUGCAGUGGGUACGGGCAAACUAGAGUGCGGUAGGGGAGAUUGGAAUUCCUGGUGUAGCGGUGGAAUGCGCAGAUAUCAGGAGGAACACCGAUGGCGAAGGCAGAUCUCUGAGCCGUAACUGACGCUGAGGAGCGAAAGCAUGGGGAGCGAACA
rnacentral:rRNA from 1 species